UAUUCCAAUAAUAAGUUCAAUCAAAUUCAACACCAAUACAGUAAAUAAAUGAUAGCUUAUGAAAUUUUAUAAUAGAAUCAAUUGGGUUCAUCACUCAAACACAUAAACAUUUUCCUUUUGAGAGGAACUGGGAUAAAGCAAAACUAACAAAACACUUUGCUACAAAAGUAUCCGGGCAGUACCCUACAUCUUCACAAUCAUGAUCACUAGUACAUUCAAAUAGGUCUGUAAAGAAAGAAGAAAAUAAAAAUAUGUUAUUAAAAUGUGAUAAAUAUUAUGUAGGAAGUAAGUAAGAAAAUUUGAAAAGGAUAAAAUUUACUUACAAUCACCAUUCAUUGCAACAACAAAUAGGGAGAGAAAUAUAAGUAUAACAUAAAAAUACUUGACAAUUUGAACCAUGUUUUUUCCCUGUUAGAAAUGUAAU
rnacentral:lncRNA from 1 species